GACGAACGCUGGCGGCGUGCUUAACACAUGCAAGUCGAACGGAAAGGCCCUGCUUUUGUGGGGUGCUCGAGUGGCGAACGGGUGAGUAACACGUGAGUAACCUGCCCUUGACUUUGGGAUAACUUCAGGAAACUGGGGCUAAUACCGGAUAGGAGCUCCUGCUGCAUGGUGGGGGUUGGAAAGUUUCGGCGGUUGGGGAUGGACUCGCGGCUUAUCAGCUUGUUGGUGGGGUAGUGGCUUACCAAGGCUUUGACGGGUAGCCGGCCUGGGAGGGUGACCGGCCACAUUGGGCCUGAGAUACGGCCCAGACUCCUACGGGGGGCAGCAGUGGGGAAUAUUGCACAAUGGGCGGAAGCCUGAUGCAGCAACGCCGCGUGCGGGAUGACGGCCUUCGGGUUGUAAACCGCUUUAGCCUGUGACGAAGCGUGAGUGACGGUAAUGGGUAAAGAAGCACCGGCUAACUACGUG
rnacentral:rRNA from 1 species